ACGGAAGGUGCAAGCGUUGCUCGGAAUCACUGGGCGUAAAGGGUGCGUAGGCGGCUUCUUAAGUCUGGUGUGAAAGCCCAGGGCUCAGCCCUGGAAGUGCACUAGAAACUGGGAAGCUCGAGUGCCGGAGGGGAGAGUGGAAUUCCUGGUGUAGCGGUGAAAUGCGUAGAUAUCAGGAGGAAUACCGGUGGCGAAAGCGACUCUCUGGACGGUUACUGACGCUGAGGCACGAAAGCGUGGGGAGCAAACAGGA
rnacentral:rRNA from 1 species